GGUCUCUCUUCUUCCCGGUGGAUUUUUCAUUUGCUUAUCCUUCCGGUAGUCUCUGAUCGGCGGCAGCAUUUGUGAUCCAGAGACCUAAAAGGACGGUGAAGAAUUCGAGCUGGAGACCCAGGAUACUCCGGCGCCGGGAAACGGCAAGAUCCGAUACCGAUCACCUUCAGCAGCCGAGCUUUUAGAGGCACAGCUCGAUCCACUUCAAAUGGAGAAGACAAUGAAGCGAAACAACAGACAGUAUGGUGGUGAGUCAUUCACCGAUAAGAUCCAGAGGUAUAAAGGUGUGAUCCUUGUGAUUUGCGUUCCGUUGUUUCUCGUUUCUCUAGUGCUUUAUGUAAUGCCGACGCGUUAUCCGUCUGAUUCGAUGGAGUCGUUAAACCGGAAAUUCUCUCCGAAUCUCGGAUCUAUGAAAUAUGCGGUUAUAUUUGAUGCUGGAAGUUCGGGUAGUAGAGUUCAUGUCUUCUGUUUUGAUGAGAAUUUGGAUCUUGUUCCCAUUGGCAAUGAACUCGAACUUUUCGUGCAGAAAAAACCAGGUCUGAGUUCAUUUGCUAGUGAUCCUGUGGCUGCUGCCGAUUCUCUUCUACCACUUCUAAAGGACGCAGAGAAUGUAGUUCCACGCAAUUUGCGCAGUAAUACACCAGUGAGAGUUGGGGCCACUGCAGGUUUGAGGCAGUUGGAAGGUGAUGCAUCUGACAGGAUUCUUCAAGCGGUGAGGGAUUUCCUGAAGAGCAAAAGCAGCUUCAAAGCAAAAGCGGACGCGGUCACUGUUCUUGAUGGAAAUCAGGAGGGUGCUUACCAGUGGGUAAGCAUCAAUUAUUUAUUGGGCAAAUUGGGAAAGAAAUACUCUGAUACAGUUGGAGUGGUUGAUCUUGGUGGUGGAUCUGUGCAAAUGGCGUAUGCCAUCUCAGAGUCAGAUGCCCAAAAAGCUCCAAAGGUAUCAGAUGGAGAGGAUACAUACGUUCAGGAAAUGUUUUUGAAAGGGACAAAAUACUACCUUUACGUUCACAGCUAUUUGCACUAUGGCUUACUAGCAGCUCGAGCUGAGAUCUUGAAGGUUUCUGGUGAAUCUGGAAGUCCUUGCAUCUUGGGAGGCCACCACGGGACAUACAAGUAUGGAGGAGCAGUUUACCCAGCAUCGGCCACGUCUCAAGGUUCAAGCAUGAGUACUUGUAGGGAGGUAGCUCUAAAGGCUCUGAAAAUUAAUGAACCAGCAUGUACCCACAUGAAGUGUACCUUUGGUGGCGUGUGGAAUGGUGGAGGAGGAGAUGGACAGAAGAAUAUGUUUGUUGCUUCGUUUUUCUUUGACAGAGCUGCUGAGGCUGGUAUUAUAAAUCCAAGUUUAGCUGUUGCAAAAGUUCGCCCAGCUGAUUACGAAAGUGCAGCUAAUCGUGCUUGUGCAACUGGACUUGAGGGUGCGAAAUCUGAAUUUCCUCGUGUAGAAGCUGAUAACUUGCCAUACCUAUGCAUGGAUCUCGUCUAUCAAUACACUCUACUUGUAGAUGGAUUCGGACUUGAACCUCAUCAAGAAAUGACAUUGGUGAAAAAAGUUGAAUACAAGAAUUCCUUUGUUGAAGCAGCAUGGCCAUUAGGCAGUGCCAUUGAAGUUGCAUCAUCAUUGAGUUAAACUUAACUGGGAAAUGGAAAGGAUAGGUUCCAUUCAUGCAAUUUUGGGUUUUAAUAGUUUAUGUAUUUUUGACUUGCAGCUUCUGAUAAGCCUAUUAGGUUAAUGUUCUGAAGCAGAAGGGAUUGCCAUAGUCCAUAGCAGGUUGAGAUUCUUUAUUUUUCCCUUUUUUAUUAAAAGGGAAUCAAGAAUAGUGAUAAAUCUGUUUGUAAUCAUGUAUUAUGAGA
rnacentral:misc_RNA from 1 species